AGAUUGAACGCUGGCGGCAGGCCUAACACAUGCAAGUCGAGCGGUAGAGAGGUGCUUGCAUCUCUUGAGAGCGGCGGACGGGUGAGUAAUGCCUAGGAAUCUGCCUAGUGGUGGGGGAUAACGUUCGGAAACGGACGCUAAUACCGCAUACGUCCUACGGGAGAAAGCGGGGGACCUUCGGGCCUCGCGCCAUUAGAUGAGCCUAGGUCGGAUUAGCUAGUUGGUGAGGUGAUGGCUCACCAAGGCGACGAUCCGUAACUGGUCUGAGAGGAUGAUCAGUCACACUGGAACUGAGACACGGUCCAGACU
rnacentral:rRNA from 1 species